UACGUAGGGGGCAAGCGUUGUCCGGAUUUAUUGGGCGUAAAGAGCGUGUAGGCGGUUAGGUAGGUCCGUUGUGAAAACUCGAGGCUCAACCUCGAGACGCCGAUGGAAACCAUCUGACUAGAGUCCGGAAGAGGAGAGUGGAAUCCUGGUGUAGCGGUGAAAUGCGCAGAUAUCAGGAAGAACACCCGUGGCUAAGGCGGCUCUCUAGUACGUGACUGACGCUGAGACGCGAAAGCGUGGGGAGCGAACAGG
rnacentral:rRNA from 1 species